rnacentral:rRNA from 1 species
GGUGAACGCUGGCGGCGUGCCUAAUACAUGCAAGUCGAGCGAACGGACGAGAAGCUUGCUUCUCCGAUGUUAGCGGCGGACGGGUGAGUCACACGUGGAUAACCUACCUAUAAGACUGGGAUAACUUCGGGAAACCGGCGCUAAUACCGGAUAAUAUUUUGCACCGCAUGGUUCAAAAGUGAAAGACGGUCUUUCUGUCACUUAUAGAUGGAUCAGCGCUGCAUUAGCUAGUUGGUAAGGUAACGGCUUACCAAGGCAACGAUGCAUAGCCGACCUGAGAGGGACAUCGGCCACACUGGAACUGAGACACGGCCCAGACACCGACAGGAGGAAGCAGUAGGGAAUCUUCCGCAAUGGGCGAAAGCGUGACGGAGCAACGCCGCGUGAGUGAUGAAGGUCUUCGGAUCGGAAAACUCUGUUAUUAGUGAAGAAGAUAUGUGUAAGUAACUGGGAACAUCUUGACGGUACCGAAUCAGAAAGCCACGGCUAACUACGUG